rnacentral:rRNA from 1 species
GGUAGAAUUCCAGGUGUAGCGGUGAAAUGGGUAGAGAUCUGGAGGAAUACCGGGGGGGAAGGCGGCCCCCUGGACGAAGACUGACGUUCUGGUGCGAAAGCGUGGGGACCAACCAGGAUUAGAUACCCUGGUAGUCCACGCCGUAAAGGAUGUCGACUUGGAGGUUGUGCCCUUGAGGCGUGGCUUCCGGAGCUAACGCGUUAAGUCGACCGCCUGGGGAGUACGGCCGCAAGGUUAAAACUCAAAUGAAUUGACGGGGGCCCGCACAAGCGGUGGAGCAUGUGGUUUAAUUCGAUGCAACGCGAAGAACCUUACCUGGCCUUGACAUCCAGAGAACUUAGCAGAGAUGCUUUGGUGCCUUCGGGAACUCUGAGACAGGUGCUGCAUGGCUGUCGUCAGCUCGUGUUGUGAAAUGUUGGGUUAAGUCCCGCAACGAGCGCAACCCUUAUCCUUUGUUGCCAGCGGUUCGGCCGGGAACUCAAAGGAGACUGCCGGUGAUAAACCGGAGGAAGGUGGGGAUGACGUCAAGUCAUCAUGGCCCUUACGGCCAGGGCUACACACGUGCUACAAUGGCGCAUACAAAGAGAAGCGACCUCGCGAGAGCAAGCGGACCUCAUAAAGUGCGUCGUAGUCCGGAUUGGAGUCUGCAAUUCGACUCCAGGAAGUGGGAAUCGCUAGUAAUGGUAGAUCAGAAUGCUACGGUGAAUACGUUCCCGGGCUUUGUACACACCGCCCGUCACACCAUGGGAGUGGGUUGCAAAAGAAGUAGGUAGGUUAACCUUCGGGAGGGCGCUUCCCACUUUGUGAUUCAUGACUGGGGGAAGUCGAAC